CCGGCGCACGGGUGCGUAACACGUAUGCAACUUACCCUUUACUGGGGCAUAGCUCAGAGAAAUCUGAAUUAAUUCCCCAUAACGCUAUUGAGUCGCAUGACUCGAUAGCUAAAGUUCCGGCGGUAAAGGAUAGGCAUGCGCUGUAUUAGCUAGUUGGUGAGGUAAUGGCUCACCAAGGCUACGAUACAUAGGGGUUCUGAGAGGAUGAUCCCCCACACUGGUACUGAGACACGGACCAGACUCCUACGGGAGGCAGCAGUAGGGAAUAUUGGUCAAUGGACGCAAGUCUGAACCAGCCAUGCCGCGUGCAGGAUGACGGCCCUCUGGGUUGUAAACUGCUUUUAUAUGGGAAGAAACCCCGGGAUGCGUUCGGGCUGACGGUACCAUACGAAUAAGGAUCGGCUAACUUCGUGCCAGCAGCCGCGGUAAGACGAAGGAUCCAAGCGUUGUCCGGAUUUACUGGGUUUAAAGGGUGCGUAGGCGGAUGCUUAAGCCAGUGGUGAAAUCUCUCAGCCCAACUGAGAAACUGCCAUUGGAACUGGGUAUCUUGAAUUCGAUUGAGGUGGAUGGAAUAUAACAUGUAGCGGUGAAAUGCUUAGAUAUGUUAUGGAACACCGAUUGCGAAGGCAGUCUACUAAGUCGACAUUGACGCUGAGGCACGAAAGCGUGGGUAGCGAACAGGAUUAGAUACCCUGGUAGUCCACGCCCUAAACGUUGAUUACUCGCUGUUGGCGAUACACUGUCAGCGGCUAAGCGAAAGCGUUAAGUAAUCCACCUGGGAAGUACGACCGCAAGGUUGAAA
rnacentral:rRNA from 1 species